ACGUGGAUUGGGGGGGGAGUACAGGGGAAAAAUCCCUAUAAAGAACAUAGUUUAAUCCCAGUGAAAUGUGGGGGCGCUUGCUUGGCCACUAUUGGCCGCGCAUGAGCGUGUGAAAGCGUCGCCAUAAACUCCCAUUUCCCACCCCAGUUUGGGAAUUUAAAGGGCCAGAGUCAUUCAUUCUCAUGCCCUUUAAACCACCAGCUGAUUGGGAGAGGCAGCGAGUACGUCUGGUCAAGAGUUCCCUCUGCCAAGACUCGACUUGUUCGACGCAGCAGCCGAGGCGCCUCCUGUGAGCAAGGCAAAGAAAACGGAGAAACUUGGGUGCUGGGUGCUGCGCUACCUUUGUGCUCGUCGUCCAGGUACCGAACUCGUACCUCCUGCUCCUCCCCCGAUUUCGCCUCCGAACUGUACCUCCUCACGGCGGUCGAGCAGCACCCGCGCGCCGACCCCCUCAGGUGGGCCAGAGAGAACGAAGAGGAGGAACAGGACAGAGCGGCUGGAGCCGCCGCCGCAACCAAACCGCCCCGACGCUGCAGGAGGCUUAAGGCCGCCGAGACUGCAGAUGCCGCCGCCAUGUCUGUUUACAAGCGCGCGCCAAGCCGGGCAGCCCCCUGCAGCCGCCCCUCCCACUUCCCAGGGCAAACCCACGUGACUCUGACGCACCGCCGGCGACGCGGGUCCCUCCUGGAGCGUGGCUGAACGGAGCGUGGAGGCGAGCCUUUGUCAACCCACCCUUCUCCACCGGACAUUGUGAGAUUGGGAAAGGGACACGUGGUCAAGCUUCGCUUUUCAGGCAGCUGCAGGGUUCAAUAGGAAGAUUUAGCCGCUUUUUAGGGAGUUUUUCUGGCGUUAGUGAAAGUCUGUUAUUACAUUUCGGCUGUAGCCCCACGAAGGCAUUUCUGGAAUAAGACUAAUUGAAUUAAACGGGACUGACUGAUUUCCAAGAAGCCCUGAUUAAAAUUGGUCAUAAUAUUA